rnacentral:rRNA from 1 species
CNUAGCGCGGUGGUCCCACCUGACCCCAUGCCGAACUCAGAAGUGAAACGCCGUAGCGCCGAUGGUAGUGUGGGGUCUCCCCAUGCGAGAGUAGGG